rnacentral:rRNA from 1 species
AGCUGGAAUCGCUAGUAAUCGCGAAUCAGCAUGUCGCGGUGAAUACGUUCCCGGGUCUUGUACACACCGCCCGUCACACCAUGGGAGUUGGUAACGCCCGAAGCCAGUGACCCAACCGGAAACGGAGGGAGCUGUCGAAGGUGGGACCGAUAACUGGGGUGAAGUCGUAACAAGGUAGC